CUUCAAACCACAGGUGUAGUUCCCAGAAUCCUUUGCAGUCAGAUUGCUGAGAUGGAGGACGGGGCCAGACUCUGAGAGGGCGUGGCCAUCUCUGAACCAGCUGACCUCCAGUUGGUGGAUAGUGCAGCUUGCAGCAGAACAACGGAGUGGUAAGCAGACAGAAUUCAUGGUUGUUGCACCAAACGUCUCUGAUGACCUCGAUCAAACAUUCUCCUGCAUCAUCAACGACAGACUUCAGUGUGUUGAAGGAGCAGGGGAGGGUGACGGUCGAUCCUACCACACCACAAACAGGACCUGGAUAGUUCACACUUAGACCCAGAGCAUCUAGUACAACAACAAAGUGAGAUUAGGAAUAAAGGAACUUGAUUUAGA